UACGUAGGUGGCGAGCGUUAUCCGGAAUUAUUGGGCGUAAAGAGCGCGCAGGUGGUUGAUUAAGUCUGAUGUGAAAGCCCACGGCUUAACCGUGGAGGGUCAUUGGAAACUGGUCGACUUGAGUGCAGAAGAGGGAAGUGGAAUUCCAUGUGUAGCGGUGAAAUGCGUAGAGAUCCGGAGGAACACCGAAGGCGAAGGCAGUGUCCUGGCUGGUGACUGACGCUGAGGUGCGAAAGCUAGGGGAGCGAACGGG
rnacentral:rRNA from 1 species